UGGGGAAUAUUGGACAAUGGGCGAAAGCCUGAUCCAGCCAUGCCGCGUGUGUGAAGAAGGUCUUCGGAUUGUAAAGCACUUUAAGUCGGGAGGAAGGGCAGUAAGCGACUACCUUGCUGUUUUGACGUUACCGACAGAAUAAGCACCGGCUAACUCUGUGCCAGCAGCCGCGGUAAUACAGAGGGUGCGAGCGUUAAUCGGAUUUACUGGGCGUAAAGCGUGCGUAGGCGGCUAAUUGAGUCGGAUGUGAAAUCCCCGAGCUUAACUUGGGAAUUGCAUUCGAUACUGGUUAGCUCGAGUGUGGGAGAGGAUGGUAGAAUUCCAGGUGUAGCGGUGAAAUGCGUAGAGAUCUGGAGGAAUACCGAUGGCGAAGGCAGCCAUCUGGCCUAACACUGACGCUGAGGUACGAAAGCAUGGGGAGCAAACAGG
rnacentral:rRNA from 1 species